CCCGGCUAGCUCAAUCGGUAGAGCGUGAGACUCUUAAUCUCAAGGUUGUGGGUUCGACCCCCACGUCGGGCUUUUUUA